rnacentral:rRNA from 1 species
AAGCCAUCCGAGUUGGUUCUGGAUGAGGGAACAUUUCUUGAUGUUUUCGAAUCCAAGAUUGAUGAGGAGGGCUAAGUCAUAACAAGGUAUCCGUAGGGGAACCUGCGGAUGGAUCACCUCCU